GACGAACGCUGGCGGUGCGCCUAACACAUGCAAGUCGAACGGUGAAGCGGGCUUCGGCCCGUGGAUCAGUGGCGAACGGGUGCGUAACACGUGGGCAACCUGCCCCUCACUCUGGGAUAACUCCGGGAAACCGGGGCUAAUACCGGAUACUCCGGCCGAACCGCAUGGUUCAGCCGGGAAAGGUCCGCUGGUGAGGGAUGGGCCCGCGGCCUAUCAGCUAGGUGGUGGGGUAACGGCCUACCAAGGCGACGACGGGUAGCUGGUCUGAGAGGACGACCAGCCACACUGGGACUGAGAUACGGCCCAGACUCCUACGGGAGGCAGCAGUGGGGAAUCUUGCGCAAUGGGCGAAAGCCUGACGCAGCGACACCGCGUGAGGGACGAAGGCCUUCGGGUUGUAAACCUCUUUCGGCAGGGACGAAGCGAUCGUGACGGUACCUGCAGAAGAAGCUCCGGCUAACUACGUGCCAGCCGCCGCCGUAAUAC
rnacentral:rRNA from 1 species